UAUUUGGGUCAUCCAGGCAGACUGGGUUGUGUCUCUUCGCAUACACGUUGGUUGAAAUUCUGAGUUGUUUUUCGCUUUCCAGGAAUCUGUGGAGCUUAGUUCAAUUUUCUGAAGGUUGGGUCGAUUACAGUCUAUCGUAGCAGACACUGAGGAUAGGAAGAAGAAGAAGAAAAAAGGGGAAAAGAAGAGAGAAAGAAAAGAGAAAAAGAAAGAAAAAGAGAGAGUUUAUUCUCUUUCGGACAUGUGUUCUGUUUUGGAAGAUCCUUAACUUGCUUUGUGGACUGAGACGAUAAUGUCUCCGAUGUUAAGUAGCUGGCAUCAGGUAUCUUAUUCCCAGUCUGGCAGGCCCAAGCACAUGUAUCCAGAUUCACCACUGUGCUACAGUAUUUGAAAGUUAUUGGAUCAGAGCCGUUCGUUGUUCUUUGGAAAGAAAAAAAAAGUACAGAUAA